rnacentral:tRNA from 1 species
GCCUCCUUAGCUCAGUUGGUAGAGCAGAUCACUCUUAAUGAUAAGGUCGUAGGUUCGAGGCCUACAGGGGGCA